rnacentral:lncRNA from 1 species
GGAGCGUGAAUCUGAUGUGGACCUUCCUCCACCUUCUCUUCCUGGAGCAAACUCUUCACCCCAGGCCUGCUCUCCUCUACAAAACAUACAGACAACACCAGGUCCUGGGUCCCUGGAGGACACCACCAAUACUGUGAGGUGAUGGUGAGGUGAUGGUGGCUGAUGCACAGGGGUAAAUGCGAGACGAUCAACACCUUCAUUCAUGAGGAUGUGGCCACGUUGGCAUAUCUCUGCAGAAUUCCACCUCUGCCCUCUACCAACAGCUGCUGUGUGCACAACAGUCACAAAGGAAAUGGCCAGCCUUAUGGUGACCUGGGCUCCAUGUUGCUGCUUGUCCAGCUGGACCUGCUCCUGGCUCCCUCUCCUCAGACCAGAGGGUAA